rfam:Oryza punctata chromosome 4, whole genome shotgun sequence.
GUGAGCCAGGAAGAGGAAUAGAGACUCUAAGAGCAGUAGGAAUGGGAACAUGAAGGAAAGCCAAACUAAGCUCCAACUCCUGGACUUUGAGAUUUGGUAUGAUGAUUUUCCUGAUGCCUCCCAUUCCUAUAGUUCUUAGGUCCUCGUUCUUCUUACUUUCGGCU